AUGGAAGAAGUUGAGAGUAGUUAUCGAUCGGAGAUGAUGGAUGGCGAGGGGUGGAAGAUGAUGCAGCCUAAUACUAAUAAGCAGCUGGUGCAGAUCAAGACGAGGUCGUCGUCGAUGCAGGUGGUGAAGGAGGAGAUCGAGGAGGAGGAGGUGGCGGGAGGAAGAGGCCGGAGAAGAGGAGGGCUGAGGCGGUCGGUAUCGGGGAGGGGUUAUAAUUCAAGUAAUCAGAAGGUGAUUGCAAAUGCUAACACAAAUAGAGAUACCAACAACUUGGCAAUAGAGGGACCAACUUUCACACAACUACUACUUGGAGAGGAAGAUUUUGACCUUCCUCCGUAUGUUCCGGACGAUGCUAAAGAGAGCAAUCAGUUCUAUCAACAAACAACAAAUGAGUUCCUUAACAUGAACCAAUUGGAUAACAAUGGUAUAGGAACUGCUCAGUUGGAAUCUCGGGAGCAUAUGAUGACAUAUGGCUUAAGUUCUGGUAUAAGUUCACAGCUUUUAGGUUCUCACGCAAUAGACGUAGUUGAUGUUGUAGGAUGCCUAACUUCACCACGGGGUACCCAGCUGCAUGAGGGUCAUCUUGCACAUCUAAUGUCAUAUAUCCGUGCAUGUCGUGAUCUAGAGCAACAUACCCCUCCCAACUUUGUCAUGCAUCAAUCUAUUGGGCCA
rnacentral:lncRNA from 1 species